CCUACGGGAGGCAGCAGUAGGGAAUCUUCCACAAUGGGCGAAAGCCUGAUGGAGCAACGCAGCGUGGGUGAAGAAGGUCUUCGGAUCGUAAAACCCUGUUGUUAGAGGAGAAAGUGCGUGAGAGUAACUGUUCACGUUUCGACGGUAUCUAACCAGAAAGCCACGGCUAACUACGUGCCAGCAGCCGCGGUAAUACGUAGGUGGGAAGCGUUAUCCGGAUUUAUUGGGCGUAAAGGGACCGGAGGCGGUCUUUUAAGUCUGAUGUGAAAGCUUUCGGCUUAACCGGAUUAGUGCAUUUGAAACUGGGAGACUUGAGUGCAGAAGAGGAGAGUGGAACUCCAGGUGUAGCGGUGAAAUGCGUAGAUAUAUGGAAGAACACCAGUGGCGAAAGCAGCUCACUGAUCUGUAACUGACGCUGAGGUUCGAAAGCGUGGGUAGCAAACAGGAUUAGAUACCCUGGUAGUC
rnacentral:rRNA from 1 species